rnacentral:rRNA from 1 species
AGCGAACGCUGGCGGCAGGCUUAACACAUGCAAGUCGAGCGGGCAUCCUUGUGGUGUCAGCGGCAGACGGGUGAGUAACGCGUGGGAACGUGCCCUUCGGUUCGGAAUAACUCAGGGAAACUUGAGCUAAUACCGGAUACGUGCGAGAGCAGAAAGGUUUAUCUGCCGAAGGAUCGGCCCGCGUCUGAUUAGCUAGUUGGUGAGGUUACGGCUCACCAAGGCGACGAUCAGUAGCUGGUCUGAGAGGAUGAUCAGCCACACUGGGACUGAGACACGGCCCAGACUCCUACGGGAGGCAGCAGUGGGGAAUAUUGGAAAAUGGGGGCAACCCUGAUCCAGCCAUGCCGCGUGAGUGAUGACGGCCUUAGGGUUGUAAAGCUCUUUUCUCCGGGACGAUAAUGACGGUACCGGAGGAAUAAGCCCCGGCUAACUUCGUG